rnacentral:rRNA from 1 species
AGUAACAUCCGGAAACGGGUGCUAAGUACCGCAUAGUUUUCUUGAUCGCAUGAUCGGGAAAGGAAAGACGGCCUUUGUGCUGUCGUCUUAUGGAUGGACCCGCGGCGUAUUAGCUAGUUGGGUGAGGUGACGGCUCACCAAGACGAGUGAUACGUAGCCGACCUGAGAGGGUGAUCGGCCACAUUGGGACUGAGACACGGCCCAAACUCCUACGGGAGGCAGCAGUAGGGAAUCUUCCGCAAUGGACGAAAGUCUGACGGAGCGAACGCCGCGUGAGUGAAAAGAAGGUUUUUCGGAUCGUAAAACUCUGUUGUCAGAGAAGAACAAGUUGGAGAGUAACUGCUCCAGCCUUGACGGUAUCUGACCAGAAAGCCACGGCUAACUACGUGCCAGCCGCCGC